rnacentral:rRNA from 1 species
UACGGAGGGUGCAAGCGUUAUCCGGAUUCACUGGGUUUAAAGGGUGCGUAGGCGGGCAGGUAAGUCCGUGGUGAAAUCUUUGGGCUUAACCCGAAAACUGCCAUUGAUACUAUCUGUCUUGAAUAUUGUGGAGGUUUGCGGAAUAUGUCAUGUAGCGGUGAAAUGCUUAGAGAUGACAUAGAACACCGAUUGCGAAGGCAGCAAACUACGCAGAUAUUGACGCUGAGGCACGAAAGCGUGGGGAUCAAACAGG